rnacentral:lncRNA from 1 species
CCCGCCCCGCCCCGCCCCGCGCCUGCCUUGCCCGGUCCGCCCUGUCUUCCAGCAGGGCGGGGCCCGGCUCCGGUUGUUCCGCCACGUUUGAGCGGGCGAGCCCGGCGGCCGGGAGACGCCAGGGAACGGGGCUGGUGGGGGUACAAAGGCUCGGUUCCGUCGCCUUCAGCCCUGCGGUGGGGGCACGGGGCAAGUGAGGGGACGGCAGAGGCGGCGUUCGGUGUGAGGCUGCGCCCUGGGCUCCUGAAAAUCCAGGGCUGCAGUCAUUUGAAGGCUUGACUGGGGCUGGAGGAUUUUCAUCCAAGAUGGCUCACUCACCCAGCUGUUGGCAGGAGACCUCGGUUCUUUGACUUCUCCGUAAGACUGUUUUCUACCUCCAUUACGUCACUCAGACUGCUUGGUACAUUACCAAAGACCAAAGACCAAAGACCAAAUCCAUGACCAUUUACUCAUCUUUCAAGACUCAGAAGUCAGCUGUGGUACCAAGCCUUUUCUGACCUUCCCAGGGACUGGGGACUAAAGGCAAUAGCUUGACUUCUGAAAAGGGCUGGACUGAAGGUCAGCCACAUGGGCAGUGUGAAGGAUCCCCAGCAAAACUCUGGACAUCAGUGGCUGGGCAAGCUUCUCUGGUUGGCGGUACUCUGCAUAUUGUCACACAUCAACUCUGGGAGAAGAUCAUACUGUUCAUGUCUCCACAAGGGGAGGACAGCUGGAAACUCAGUGUCUGGACCUCUUUCCUUGGCUGAUUUUAUUGUGUAUCCUUUCAUUACAAUAAGCUGUAGCCCUGAAUAUAACAGCUUUCAGUGGGCUCUGAGAGUCAUUUUAGUGAGUUAUCAAAACUAAGGGCAGUUUGGGAAUCCCCCUUACUCGUACUUGGUAUCAGAAGCAAGGAUGGCAACCUGUGGGGACUGGUCCCCCUAACCUACAUAGUUGGCCUCAACUCCUGCCAACUCUGUCUCUCUCUCAAACUAAACCCUAGAGUACCUUGUAAUUACUUACCCUUCUUUGAAGAAAGUUAUAUGCCUGAUUUCGUCCUUUUCUCAUUUCUCAUUUACACUUCAGCUAAUUGUGAUUAGACUUGUUCUCACUGUUCCACUCUAAAUGCUCUGACAGAGAUCAUGAAUAAUUGCCUGUUUGCAGCUCAGUCAUCUAUUUGGUAAUUAAACACAUUUUUAUUUAGUGUCACCACAAGUCAGGUAUAAUGUUGGGCCAUGAGAGUUCAGUGAUUACCAAAAUAAAAGCAUUCCUUGCCCUCACAGCACUUAUAGUCCAGUAGGGGGUUCAGGCAAGCCCUCAGAAAACAGCAUGCUAAGGUCUAUGUUAUGGGAAAUAGGGGAGCUAUGGCAGACUUCCUUGGGGCUGGGGGGGGUGGGUGGUCCCAGCCCCCUCUCCUUAGCA